GGAGAGGUGGCUGAGCGGUUGAAAGCGGCGGUCUCGAAAACCGCUAAGCCUCGUUCGGGGCUUCGUGGGUUCGAAUCCCACCCUCUCCGCCA
rnacentral:tRNA from 1 species